GGAAUGUUGGCUCAGUGGUAGAGUGCUUGCCUUGCAUGCAUGAGGCCCUGGGUUCGAUUCCUCAGCACCA
rnacentral:tRNA from 1 species